CCCAAAAUUAGGGUUUCAGAUUGGGAAAAAGGAAGCUCUUGCGCCUAGAACUCGAUUUUGCGAAUUAGUGAUUGCUCCUGUGCCGUGACGAAGAAAGAUGGUUGCUGGUGGUGUGUGAGGAAAACUGGCGAUUUGGCCAUGGAGGUUGAAGAAGAAACUCGCGCGAGGAGAUUGCGAGUUCGCGAGCUCUCUGUUGAUGAUAGUGGAGGAUUCUUGCGGUGGUGGUCACGGAAGCGCGACAUGGAUAUCACGAGGCAUGGAUGAGAAGACGCUCGCGCAGCGGAGGCUUGCGGUUGCUUAAGGGUUUUUGCGUUCUCUGAAUUUCCAGAUUCGUGAUGAAGAAGAUGAAUGCUGGAGCGAAUCUUGUGGAGUUGCUAUUGGGGUUUUUUCCGCGAUUGGGGCUGGUUGGCGGAGGGAUGGUUAAGAAGCUGCCAUGGUUGCGUGAUGGCUUCUAGUUUUUUUUUUUGUUUUCAGGUAUCGGGAUUGGUUAGCAAGAAGGUGGAGGCUCGCGACUUUGAUGGUGAAUGCGGAGCAUCGCAAUUUGGGGUUGAAGAUGAAGGUUGGUGUUGUUUCGUGGUUUAGUAUUGCAGGGUUAGGUUGCUGCAAGGGAGGCGCUGCUGGGUUGCGUUUGGGGUUUCCAUGGAGGUUUUUGGCGUGGUGGAAGGUUGCGCAAGAAGAUGAACCUAUGGUGGCGUCUAGGGUGAAGACGAACAGGGUUGGUGGUGGCGUUGAUGGUGUCUUCACGGUUGCGUCGCGGGGCAAGGUUGGUUGGGUAGCGGCAGCGGCUAGGGUUCACGUGACAUCACAAGGGUUUGUGUCUAGGUAGAAAUUAGGAUUUCUGUGGAGAAGGCAAAACUGACUUGGCAAGAGGGAUUAAAUAACACGUCAACACACAACUAAAUAAUGACACGUUAGCACUAACUGUUGCCAGAUCAUCACCCAUUAACUUCGUUUGGUUAUAUUUAAUGGAAGGGAUGAAUUUGACGCAAAA